AUACCCCACUAUGUCUAGUCGUAAACUUUAACUUACAUUUCCAUUCGCCAGGGUACUACGAGCUAAAGCUUAAAACCCAAAGGACUUGACGGUGUUUCAUAUCCAACUAGAGGAGCCUGUCCUAUAAUUGAUAACCCCCGCUUAACCUCACCACCCCUAGCCAAUCAGCUUGUAUACUUCCGUCGUCAGCUUACCACGUGAGCGAACUUCAGUAAGCAUAACGGCCUCGCCAAUACGUCAGGUCAAAGUGCAGCAUAUGGGGCGGGAAGAGAUGGGCUACACUCUCUAAUGUAGAAUAAACGAAAGGCCUAAAUGAAACUCAGGCCUGAAGGCGGAUUUAGCAGUAAAAAGAAAAUAGAGUGUUCUUUUUAACUAGGCACUGGAACGUGUACACACCGCCCGUCACCCUCUUCAAACACAUACCUCCCCGUAUUUAACCCCUAUCACUAUUAAAGAAGAGGCAAGUCGUAACAUGGUAAGUGUACCGGAAGGUGUGCUUGGAAACGAAAUAUAGCUUAACCAAAGCCU
rnacentral:rRNA from 1 species